CUUGCAUGCUCAUGUGAAUACCAUGCUGAAUGUGUAUUUUGUGUUGCAGGUUGUCACAUAAAGUUGUAAGGUAUUAUAAAUAAGUAGCUUAGACACAGAGAUGCAUAUUAUGAAGAGCAAGUAGGAGCAAUGAUUGACCAAAUGCUUCAACAGGUCCAUGUGCUUUGAGAAGGGUUGUAGCUCCUGUCAAAAUGACAUUUCAAAUCUAAGUGACUUAGGUUAUUGUUUGGGCAGAUAUGCAACCUGUGUAAUACCAGUAAGUGCCUUCUAUGGUUUAAGUCUUCGGUAAUGCUGAAAUAUAGUAAUAAUUGGACUUAGAUUUGAGUAAUAUUGGGCUUGAAGUGCAAAACAGAUGCCAUGUUACGCCUCUAGUACAAGACUUAAGUAAUUUGGUCAAUCACCAAUUCCUAGUUAUUACUUAUUACUUUAUAUCUUUUAGCAAGGAACCUUGUGAAAGUACUAGUAUCUUGCUUAGAGGAGUCUGCAAAAUAUUCUGGCAGCUAUUAUCACUGCAGUUCUCCCUUGGUCAUUUCAAAGAAAAGGUACAUGCUAACUGCUAUGUUAGCAGAAUGUUUUUAAUGGCUACACGAAUG